rnacentral:rRNA from 1 species
UACAGAGGUCCCAAGCGUUGUUCGGAUUCACUGGGCGUAAAGGGUGCGUAGGUGGUGAGGUAAGUCGGAUGUGAAAGCUCGGAGCUCAACUCCGAAAUGGCAUUGGAAACUACCUUGCUCGAGGGUUGGAGGGGGGACUGGAAUGCUUGGUGUAGCAGUGAAAUGCGUAGAUAUCAAGCGGAACACCAGUGGCGAAGGCGAGUCCCUGGACAACUCCUGACACUGAGGCACGAAAGCUAGGGGAGCAAAGCAGG